CAAACGGGUGCGGAACACGUACGCAACCUUCCUUUAAGCGGGGGAUAGCCCAGGGAAACUUGGAUUAAUACCCCAUAAGAUUAUGGUGUGGCAUCACACAGUAAUUAAAGCUCCGGCACUUAAAGAUGGGCGUGCGGCUGAUUAGGUAGUUGGCGGAGUAACAGCCCACCAAGCCAACGAUCAGUAACUGGUGUGAGAGCACGACCAGUCACACGGGCACUGAGACACGGGCCCG
rnacentral:rRNA from 1 species